UACGAAGGGGGCUAGCGUUGCUCGGAAUCACUGGGCGUAAAGGGUGCGUAGGCGGGUCUUUAAGUCAGGGGUGAAAUCCUGGAGCUCAACUCCAGAACUGCCUUUGAUACUGAAGAUCUUGAGUUCGGGAGAGGUGAGUGGAACUGCGAGUGUAGAGGUGAAAUUCGUAGAUAUUCGCAAGAACACCAGUGGCGAAGGCGGCUCACUGGCCCGAUACUGACGCUGAGGCACGAAAAGCGUGGGGGAGCAAACAGGG
rnacentral:rRNA from 1 species